CAACCGCUAAAGACGAAAGCUUGGUGAGAAUAUUCUCUUUCCACGAUCCUUCCCAUGCUUCCCUCCAUAUUCUUCCUUAAUGGAUGAUAAGAAGAAACAGCACCAACACAAGAAAAAAUGGUUCUCCUCUGUUCAAACAAAACCCUAAUAGCCUCCAAUCCUUUCUCAUCGUACCUCCAACCGAAGCCAAGAUUCUUAAUCCCCUUUUCUUCCUCUCCUCUCUGCUCCUGCGGAAGUCCCAAUUUCCUGAAAGUUCUCACCCUUUCGGCUUCCUCUCUCCCCUCCGCCUCGGCCACUUCAGCUCAGAGCCUCCACCUUCAGCACGACGAACCAACCCCGGCAUCUCUCAUAUGUGCAGACUGGGGAGAUUUCGCUGCGAGAGUUUCCGGCGAGUGGGAUGGCUGCGGCGCCGAGUUCAGCGCUGAAGGGAAGCCGGUAGAACUGCCUGAGUCCGUUGUGCCCGGGGCUUUUCGAGAGUGGGAUGUGCAAGUAUUUGAUUGGCAAACUCAAUGCCCUACCCUGGCUUCUGAGACGAGGGAACCGCUGUUCUUCUAUAAGCUAAUUAAGCUUCUCCCAACUGUGGGUUGCGAGGCCGACGCUGCCACGAGGCACAGUGUCAGUGAGAGGGUCGCAGGAGGUUCGGAGAACAAUGUCUUGGCUUUCGGAUAUCAUCCUAAUGGUAGAUAUAUUUGUGUUGGGCUGGUGAAUGGAUUUGAGGGGAAGAGGACGUUGGAAUUGGAGCAUUGUUUUGUGAGUCCUAAGAACCGGGAGGAAAGACUGAGAGUGAUUCAAGUGGUUAGGUUAGAGGAAGGACUGGUGAGUUUGGAGAAGAUUUGGGUUUUUUCGGAACAUUGGUAUGGCCCAUUCAGGAAUGGAGAGCAGCUUGGUGGAUGUGCCAUUAAGGAAACUGGGUUUGCAUUGGCAAAGGCAGUUGAAGUUUCCGAGAUUUUGGGGGAAUGGAAAGGAAGUGAAAGAUUUGCAGUAACUGAAUUAGAGUGUGAGCAGAAGGAUCCAAUCCAUCAACUCGUGAAGGUUCGUUCACAAAACUCCAGUAGAGGCCAGCAAUGUCUUAUUGCACUCCCAAAGGGUCUCUGGUGUUCUCUUGAAGUAAAGGAGGAUGGUGAAACAUGUGCCGAAGUUGGAUGGCUGGUGGAUUGUGGGAAUGCCUUGACUUCAAGAUGUGCUUUUCACAAAAAUGGGGGAUUAAAGGAUGGCAGCAGUGAUGAUAAACUCUUUCCAAUGAUGCAUCAAAUGGUGAGUUUCCUUUGAGCAAUGAUGAACUUCUCGCGACAAAGUAGUGACAUGGCGAAUGGCAAUCCUCCCUUCAAUAAUGAUGGAAAUGAUAAUGGAAGAGGAAGCCAAAGUGUUGGACGGCAAAGUAUGGUAGUUUCUAAGCUAAUUUUCUUAUAAUAUGUUAAAUAUCAAAUUACUUUUUGCCCAAUUACAAAGAUCAGGUUCUUGAAUUUGAAUCUGUCAGUUCUAAUAAGUUUCAUCUUGUACCUGUUUAAAUGAUAAAAUGAUAGUGAUGCCCUAGUUUUGCCUUGAGAACAAAACCUUUAUUCCUCUUGGCUAUUGAAAUAUUUUACUCUUUCAUUUUU